rnacentral:rRNA from 1 species
UGAGGAAUAUUGCCCAAUGGACGCAAGUCUGAGGCAGCAACGCCGCGUGAGCGAUGAAGGCCUUCGGGUCGUAAAGCUCUUUUCCCAGGGAAGAGUAAGGACGGUACCUGGGGAAUCAGUCACGGCUAACUACGUGCCAGCAGCCGCGGUAAAACGUAGGUGGCAAGCGUUAUCCGGAUUCACUGGGCGUAAAGCGCACGCAGGCGGCGCGGUUGGUAGGGCAUGAAACCUCCCGGCUUAACUGGGAGACGCUGUCCUAUACCGCCGCGCUUGAGGCUGGAAGAGGGAAGUGGAAUUGCCGGUGUAGUGGUGAAAUGCGUAGAGAUCGGCAGGAACACCAGUGGCGAAGGCGGCGUCCUGGUCCACGCCUGACGCUCAAAUGCGAAAGCUAGGGGAGCGAACGGG